GUUAGUAAAUACAUAAUGUUAACUAAUGAACCUUAUUGUAAAGUGUUACCGAAAAUACAUUUUAAAAUUUCCACCACACUCUCAAGCAACUUUCAGAGCAAACCCACACGUGUGCACUUUGCUCUCCCUGAGCUACAGCUCAGUACAUGACGUCCAUAUAAAGCUCAAAGACUCUCUCUUCAGAACAACUGUGUGACGAGUUCUCGCUGUCUAAAAGAUUCGUAAGUUGGUUUUCUGUCAAGGUCAGUAGACAUUUAUUAAAUAGUGUAAAUGUUAACAGUAUUAACAUACUAUUUUAUGCCUCUCUGUUCUAGGUGACAAAAUGGCAGGUAACAUUUCUAAAAUAUCAUGCACUUGCAAACUCUCAAGUUUCUGUAAUUCAAAUAUUACAGUUACAAUUAAUCUCCAUAAAUUACAUUUAAACGUAAAGCAUUAAAAAUCCAUAAUUUAAUAACAAUAAAUAUAUUAUGAACUUAGUUCCUGAUAUGCAACAAUCCAUCCAAGAAACAGAAACAGAACAAUUUGCAAAUGCCAGCAUUCUAUAUUUCUAUUAUUAUUUGCUAAAUAUCUGACUGAUAAUUAGGCCCAUCAUACAUUUAUUCUCAUGGAUUCCAAAAACAACAUGAUUUUUAAUUUAUAUAUUUUGGGCUAUUCAGAAUGUACAACACUUUUCGAAGUGGUGUUUGUCUGCAAUAUUCUGAUUUUGAUCUUCAGUGGAGUAGUGAACAUUCUUCUAUGCGAACGGCUGAGGAGAAGAAAAUGUGAACUGUGUGCUGCACAUCAGAGAAGCUUUCAUUCUCUGGCUGUCCCUCCUCAACCAAACUCACCAGCGUCUGAUACCAGUAGUCAUCUUGAUCAAGAGAGUACGGAGCUUGACUACUCAAUGCUACAGUUCCCCGAAGACAACACAAGAACAGAGAACUCAGAGAAUGAGCAGAGAGAGAAGAGCGGAAAGGACACGGUCUAUUCCAGCCUUAAAUGUCAAAUCUCAAACAUCACUGAGGAAAAUUAAUAUUUUCAGCUCCACAGCACAAAUUUCUGGCAGUUCCCCCUCAGAGCACAGAGAUACUUUAUAUUGAAGAUCAUCACCACUGACCCAGAACCAAUGACCAGCCAUAAAGUGCAGGCCAGUCCACACAUAAGCUGUCUGAGAUGUUAUAGUGUUGUUAUUUAUCACCUCUGUUACAAUGAUCGUGGAGUUUAGACUCACCACAUCAGUGUGUGUGUUGUCUGCAAUAGUCCAGGGCAGCAGCACAAGCUGUAAUGCAAUGUAUGGAUGUAAAUACAAUGGCAGCUGUCUGUAUGGGCAGGUGGGGCUCUAAACAAAAUACCUCUACAUAAACUGUAUCAGUAAUAAAUUGUAAAUAUUUUCAGUUUUCUAUAAUAAAUAUUUCAGAAUUG